AUGAAAGAUACAUAGAGAAGGUGCAAAUACAUUACAGGGCAAGAUCACCAUUGGCAGAAAUCUAUUACUUCAUUCUUGCAUAAUAUGCAUUAAUGUUUGUGGUGAGCUCUCUGCCAAAGGAGAUUUGCCCUGUAAUUCUCUUGCGCCAAUGUUUUAGAUAUCUUCAU
rnacentral:pre_miRNA from 1 species